AAAAGUCUAUUGAAAUCAUUAUAAUGAUGAAUGCUAUUACUUAUAUUUUUGGAAGAGACUUUUUGCAAUUCAUUAAUUAUGAUAAUGAUGAUAAUAUAUGUCUGAGUGUCAGCGUAUGGUUGAAAAGGAAUGAAUGCAAUUUUGACUAACCCUUUCGAAGAUGCUAAAUUCAAGUGUAACGCAAUUGCCAAUACUUUCACAUCUCAGUUUAAAUGGAAAUGGAAUGAAUGCUUCUUCUUUUGCUAAUGAGAAUUCCAUUUUUCUUUGUUAUGGAAAUGAAAUUUCUCUCGAUUUUUUUAUAUUUUUUUUUUUACUUUGAGGUUAUAAUGAAACCAGGCAGAUUGGCGAAGGAAAUUUCAUUGUGGCGAAACAUAAACCCCUAGCAAUAUCCAUUGGAAUCAUCUCAUUUAACUGGAAUCAAUUACAUAUGUCUUUAUGUUAUUUUUUCCCUUUAAUUAAAAUUACUAUAGUAAAAUCAAAA